AACGAACGCUGGCGGCAUGCCUAACACAUGCAAGUCGAACGAGACCUUCGGGUCUAGUGGCGCACGGGUGCGUAACGCGUGGGAAUCUGCCCUUGGGUUCGGAAUAACUCAGAGAAAUUUGAGCUAAUACCGGAUGAUGACGAAAGUCCAAAGAUUUAUCGCCCAGGGAUGAGCCCGCGUAAGAUUAGCUUGUUGGUGGGGUAAUGGCCUACCAAGGCGACGAUCUUUAGCUGGUCUGAGAGGAUGAUCAGCCACACUGGGACUGAGACACGGCCCAGACUCCUACGGGAGGCAGCAGUGGGGAAUAUUGGACAAUGGGCGCAAGCCUGAUCCAGCAAUGCCGCGUGAGUGAUGAAGGCCUUAGGGUUGUAAAGCUCUUCUACCAGGGAUGAUAAUGACAGUACCUGGAGAAUAAGCUCCGGCUAACUCCGUG
rnacentral:rRNA from 1 species